GUAUGGGACAAAAGGGGGAAGCCUAGAAAGGAACAGCGGGCAAGAGGCUCGGGGCACCCGCGCGCCGCUGUGGUCUGUGGACCUGUGGUAGCGGCGGCACCAGGACAAGAGCCAAGCGCAUCUCGCAAUCCUCACCUUGGCUUCCACUCGGCCAUUUCCCACCUGGGCUCUGGAGCUGGAGCGAGCUCUCGGCCAGCAAGGAGGGUUGUUGUUUGGACUCUUGAAGCCUCUGAACUAGCUCAACAACGAAACAGUCCAAUGGGAGACUCCAAAGGAAGAGAAACUCUUCCACGGCUGCUAGAUCUUAUCCCUGAUGGGAAAGAAUGGGAGGCGAGGGAAGCACGAGGUGAAGGAAGAUCAAGAAACACUGGCUUUGGGAGCGAGGAGGACAGGAAGCUAGAGCUGAAACUCGGUCUUCCUGGUCUCGUAGAAGAAGCGACGGCAACGGUGUCAAGGCAUGAAGUGAUACAGCGAGAGAGGCCAGCUCUCUCUCUUUGUUGCUUCCGUGAACCCUCAAAGCCGACCACAAACACUACUACAACGGGGACAAAGAGGGUGUUCUUAGACACCAUUGAGGCCAAAACAGAAGGCUGUGAUGAGCAGAAACAGCAGGCCAGGGCUGGAUGUGGGAACGAACUAACACUGGAGCAAAAGAUUGCAGUGGUGAGUGAGAGAAAAAAAGGAUGCUGCGCCCCACCAUCACAUGCUCCUCCCGCAGCAUCUGGGCGCAACAGACCACAGGCCCAGGGAAGAGGUGCUUCAGUUCCGGUGGUGGGUUGGCCUCCAAUUGGAUCCUUCAGGAGAAACCUUUGCUAAUGGUAGUUCAUCCAAACAAUCAUCUGGGCAACAAAAGGGUGAAGCUAGCACAAAGGAGAAGCUCACCUGCAUUAAGAAUCCUCUCUUAAAAAUCAACAUGGACGGGAUUCCCAUCGGAAGGAAAGUAAACCUUGCAGCCUAUGACAGCUACGAGAGGCUGUCAUUGGCUGUCAAAGACCUUUUCCAAGGUUUUCUUGAAGCUCAAAAGGAUCCAUCUUGUGCUCAGAGUGAGCAAGCAGAUGAAAAAAUAUUUUCUCAAUUAUUGAACGGAAAAGGUGAAUAUACUCUAGUUUACGAAGACAAUGAAGGAGAUAGGAUGCUGGUGGGAGAUGUGCCGUGGAAUGUAUUUGUCUCAACUGCUAAAAGGCUGAGGGUUUUGAGGAGCUCGGAGCUUUCCUGUGGUUUGGUUGGAGUGGCUCCUAGAAGAGUACCAAAUUGCUGAAAGCCUGAAACAGUGAAGAAUUCUAUAACUUGGAAUGUGAGGAAACCGAAGCUGGCCCAUUCCAAUUUCGGGAUGACACCUAUUUUUUUCCUGUAGAGACUAAUCUAAUGAGAUAAACUAGCAUAUUUCAUAUGCAUGGGAAGGCGCUGGCUGUUUUGUAAAUUAGGCUACCAUGUAAUUUAUUGUUGUAGGUAGUGUCCUCAAGUAAUUCUUCAUGGUUUUGGCAUUGGAUUUUUUAGACAGUUGCAGAUGAAAGGCUUACCCAGGUAAAAUUCCUUCUUCUCUGUGACAGAUUUGUAAUCUUUUGUAACCCAACAUGCAAAUCUAAUGUGCAGACCACAAUCAUUAGUACUCACUAGUGUGCUGUAUAGAACAGCAACAUGCUAUGCACAUUGUUGACAUGGCAUUUAAGGAGUGCAGUGUCAUGUGGAAUUUGCCAUUACUACAAAAUGGGAAAAGAGCAAGGUUCACGCAAGCACCACAAGAACUACGAAAGCAAAGCAUGUGCCAGCGCCUUCAUGCUUGUUGGGUGCCAAAUUGCUCUGCUGUGCCAAUAGUGCCAGGACCUUGACUUCAUAGAAGAGGUGCAAGUUGUCACUCUUUGUUGUAAAGCUAAGAAAUCACAUGACGUCUUGUUUUACAUGAGUAUCUAACAUUAUCCAGGUCCAUUAAUGAGUACACGCACCUGAUGACACCAGCUGCCAAACCUGGAAGUUAUCUCCAAGCUGCCUUGGUGGCCUGGUGACCAUACCCCAGAUACUCUAAAAAAAAGUCAGGGUAAACAGCAGGUGGCAUUGGUUUUCUAGAAUGACAGAAACAACACAGCAAGUGACACUGUCUACAAACCAUGUUUUAUGCCAAUAAAUUUUGUUGACUUCUAAAAGUGGAAUAUCAGCACAGCCAGUUCCACUAUCUAUGUAUGCUUUGACCAUUAAGAAAACUAUUUAUGUACAGUACAGUUAAGGA